rnacentral:lncRNA from 1 species
UUUCGAUAGGGUCUGCAUCAUUUGCAUCAUGGCAUCUUGGGGUAUGGCUGCGUGUUCUCCCAUUAUGAGUGUCUAAAGUAUUCUGCACUUAGACAAAAACAACAAGAAAAUCAACGUACCACAGAAAUCAAAAAUGAAAACUUUAGAAACAAGAAACUGACGCACGUGCUGAAUUAGACAAGAAGAUGAAAACUUUUUUUUUUUUUUAAAAUAAGCUUUCAGAUACUUAAACAAUACUAGCUAACAAAGAUAAUGACAACUAAAAAUUUAAAAACGUUAUUUUUUUUUUUUUUUUUUUUUUUUUUGACGAAAACCUUGAACUAGUACAGAAACUAAAUCAAAGACUGAAACAGACGAUUAAGGAAAGAAUAGUGAUGAAUUUUUUUUUUUUUUGUUAAGGAAAAAAUAAAACUAAACAACCUAUAGAAACAAGGCUGCAGCAAAGUAGGGUUCUUAAUUUGUUUUUUUUUUUUUUUUUGAAAAUCAAAUAAAACAAAACUAGAAACCAAAACUAUCAAAAGAAAAUGGAAAAGGUAAACCUGGCAAGGGAAGAGCGUGAGGCUCUGAUACCCGAUGAUACAAGACUCGGUGGUUAGCUUGUAUUAGGAUAGAUAUGAUGGCUUCACAAGAUGGCGG